UACGAAGGGUGCAAGCGUUACUCGGAAUUACUGGGCGUAAAGCGUGCGUAGGUGGUUCGUUAAGUCUGAUGUGAAAGCCCUGGGCUCAACCUGGGAAUGGCAUUGGAAACUGGCGACCUAGAGUGCGGUAGAGGGUAGUGGAAUUCCCGGUGUAGCAGUGAAAUGCGUAGAGAUCGGGGAGGAACAUCUGUGGCGAAGGCGACUGCCUGGACCAGCACUGACACUGAGGCACGAAAGCGUGGGGGAGCAAACAGG
rnacentral:rRNA from 1 species